GAUGAACGCUGACAGAAUGCUUAACACAUGCAAGUCGAUGGGGAAGUGGUGCUUGCACCAUGGCAACCAUGGCGGACGGGUGAGUAACGCGUAAGGGACUUACCUGCAGGACUGGGAUAACAGGGGGAAACUCCUGACAAGACCGGAUAAUGUCAUGGAGCUGCAUGGCUUUAUGAUGAAAGGAGACGCCUGCGGAGAGCCUUGCAUCCUAUUAGCUAGUUGGUGAGGUAAUGGCUCACCAAGGCGAAGAUAGGUAGCCGGCCUGAGAGGGUGGACGGCCACAAGGGGACUGAGAUACGGCCCUUACUCCUACGGGAGGCAGCAGUGGGGAAUAUUGGACAAUGGGGGCAACCCUGAUCCAGCAAUUCUGUGUGCACGAAGAAGGUUUUCGGAUUGUAAAGUGCUUUCAGCAGGGAAGAAGUAAGUGACGGUACCUGCAGAAGAAGCGACGGCUAAAUACGUG
rnacentral:rRNA from 1 species